rnacentral:rRNA from 1 species
ACGUGGGAAUAUACCUUUUGGUUCGGAACAACUGAGGGAAACUUCAGCUAAUACCGAAUGUGUCCUUACGGAGAAAGAUUUAUCGCCAAAGGAUUAGCCCGCGUUCGAUUAGCUAGUUGGUGAGGUAACGGCUCACCAAGGCGACGAUCGAUAGCUGUUCUGAGAGGAAGAUCAGCCACACUGGGACUGAGACACGGCCCAGACUCCUACGGGAGGCAGCAGUUGGGAAUCUUGGACAAUGGGGGAAACCCUGAUCCAGCCAUGCCGCGUGAGUGAUGAAGGCCUUCGGGUUGUAAAACU